UCCAGACUCCUACGGGAGGCAGCAGUGGGGAAUAUUGCACAAUGGGCGAAAGCCUGAUGCAGCGACGCCGCGUGAGUGAAGAAGUAUUUCGGUAUGUAAAGCUCUAUCAGCAGGGAAGAAAAUGACGGUACCUGACUAAGAAGCCCCGGCUAACUCCGUGCCAGCAGCCGCGGUAAUACGGAGGAUGCGAGCGUUAUCCGGAUUUAUUGGGUUUAAAGGGUGCGUAGGCGGAGUGUCAAGUCAGCGGUAAAAUUUCGGGGCUCAACCCCGUCGUGCCGUUGAAACUGACGCCCUUGAGUGAGUGAGAAGUAAGCGGAAUGCGUGGUGUAGCGGUGAAAUGCAUAGAUAUCACGCAGAACGCCGAUUGCGAAGGCAGCUUACCGGCGCUCAACUGACGCUGAGGCACGAAAGUGCGGGUAUCGAACAGGAUUAGAUACCCCGGUA
rnacentral:rRNA from 1 species